rnacentral:rRNA from 1 species
GACGAACGCUGGCGGCGUGCCUAAUACAUGCAAGUAGAACGCUGAAGGAGGAGCUUGCUUCUCUGGAUGAGUUGCGAACGGGUGAGUAACGCGUAGGUAACCUGCCUGGUAGCGGGGGAUAACUAUUGGAAACGAUAGCUAAUACCGCAUAAUAGCAGUUGUUGCAUGACAACUGUUUGAAAGGUGCAAAUGCAUCACUACCAGAUGGAACUGCGUUGUAUUAGCUAGUUGGUGGGGUAAAGGCUCACCAAGGCGACGAUACAUAGCCGACCUGAGAGGGGGAUCGGCCACACUGGGACUGAGACACGGCCCAGACUCCUACGGGAGGCAGCAGUAGGGAAUCUUCGGCAAUGGACGGAAGUCUGACCGAGCAACGCCGCGGGAGUGAAGAAGGUUUUCGGAUCGUAAAGCUCUGUUGUAAGAGAAGAACGAGUGUGAGAGUGGAAAGUUCACACUGUGACGGUAUCUUACCAGAAAGGGACGGCUAACUACGUG